rnacentral:sRNA from 1 species
UUCGCGUUAGGGAUGGCAGUGGAAAUCCUUUUGUAUGGAACGCAGUGUAAUGCAAAAGAUUGAAACGGACAGCCCGGCCGCAG